rnacentral:lncRNA from 1 species
CUCUGCACAAAGGAAAAUCUUAAACUCUAUAAGAGGUUGCAGCAGUGCUUCUUCACCAACCCAACUUCCAGUACAAAUUGUACACAGGAAUAAAAACAAAAUCCCAAAGGAAAGAAGAAUCUUCCUGGUCUUCCCCUCUCUUCUGAGGCAACCAGUGUGGGAGCCUCCUUGAGUUCCUGAAAGUUGAGGUUCUCACCUUGGGAUGCAUCGAUUGUUUGUGAGCCUCAGGCUGAAUGUUGGGGAGCACAAGCUGCUUGCUUGAGGCCGUAUCUGCAUUCUUGUAUGGAGGAUUGUACAUACAUUCUUGUAUGGACAACACAGCUGAAGCCACACAGGGUGGCCACCCCUACCACAGUCAGUCUCGUUUCUUGGCCUGUUCUGCUUGGAGUAAGAAGGGACAAAACCCCAAAAUUCCUUAUCUGUGAAGAGAGACUCGCAUGGCAUCAUUCCACACACGUCCAUCUGUUGGUACCAGAGGCAGAAGCAGCUGAUUGAAACUAACAUAAAUCCGACAACAUCCUAAUAGCAUUUAAAAGACUAAGCAACCUGCUGUGGUUUAAAUAUUCUUAGAUAUUACAAUGAAAUAACAUUGUUAAACAAAAUGACACGGAUGCAUUUGCAAUAAGCAAAAGGGACACGUCUUUUGAUGAAUUUACAAGACAACAGUAUUAUAGGAUAUGUCACAUGUUAGGCAAAACAGGAGGCACUUUUCUGUCAGUAUCCCAGUUUUUGAAGAAUUUCACUUGGCUGAACACUCCAAGGGCACUUCCUCAACUUCCCCCACACCCCCCUCCCCCCUUUGAACAAAGUAAUCCAUUCCCAUUUUAAGGCAGUGGAAAAUUAGGUCUAAUCAGUUGUUCAGGAGAGUUGUCAGGAUUAAACAGAUUUAAAUAAAGCCAGGCAAAACAUGCUAAUAUUGCCCUAA